rnacentral:rRNA from 1 species
CCUACGGGCGGCUGCAGUGGGGAAUAUUGCACAAUGGGCACAAGCCUGAUGCAGCCAUGCCGCGUGUGUGAAGAAGGCCCUCGGGUUGUAAAGCACUUUCAGCGGGGAGGAAGGCGUUAAGGUUAAUAACCUUGGCGAUUGACGUUACCCGCAGAAGAAGCACCGGCUAACUCCGUGCCAGCAGCCGCGGUAAUACGGAGGGUGCAAGCGUUAAUCGGAAUUACUGGGCGUAAAGCGCACGCAGGCGGUCUGUCAAGUCGGAUGUGAAAUCCCCGGGCUCAACCUGGGAACUGCAUUCGAAACUGGCAGGCUAGAGUCUUGUAGAGGGGGGUAGAAUUCCAGGUGUAGCGGUGAAAUGCGUAGAGAUCUGGAGGAAUACCGGUGGCGAAGGCGGCCCCCUGGACAAAGACUGACGCUCAGGUGCGAAAGCGUGGGGAGCAAACAGGAUUAGAUACCCGUGUAGUC